CGGACUAUAAAUCACCGCCCAGGGAUUCAAUUCCUCUCCCCAAAGCUGUUCUGUACCUGGUCAUGGCAGCGUUGGUGGUGGUCGCAGUGGCAUACGCAAUUGUUGGACAUCUGGUCAAGGAUCUCGUCCAUGACUUCCUUGACUGGGUGUUUGGUCCUCGUCCCGCCAACAACAGCAGUAAAAGCGACAUAAACUGUAUCACCAGCAGCCUGAAUCAAAUAAGCGAGAUGAGCGAGCGACCGAGUUUAGUGGAAAUGGCCUACAUUUCCCAUAAUCACAAUAGCUGCCUGGAGACCGCCAAACACGAAGAGCUCGUUCUUACCAUAGAUGAAACGCCGCAACUACCUCAAGAACCUUACAGCGGCACUUAAACGUUUGUUUAGCUAUACAGUGUUUUUGGGGACAAGAAGCCAGGUUACUUGUGUUUCUUUUACCAGUGCACCGGCCCAGUAAGUUAUGAUUGAAUUCAGCAUGCGGUGUCAUUGCUCAUAGCGGCACUGCAUAUGGAGGUCUUUCAUUCAGCUGGGGUUUGAAUGCUUGGGAAAUAGGACGUGGUAACUCGGUGAUCAAAUGGGGCACUGAUUUGCAUGGAUGUCUAGACAUAUUCGAGGACUGGAUUUGCACCCAACUUUUCAGAAGGGAUUCUGAAGAUAUGCACACUCAUGUGAUGUGACAGCACUGCAUUGUCUGGAUUUGUGUUGACAUUAUUCAGAGUUCAUUAUUCAAGAAUUUUUUAUGUGAUUGCUCGUAUUGCACAUCUUUAAAUGUUAACAAAGUAUUAAAUGAGUCAUUACAUAAUUCACUCUGACACAGCCAUACGAAGCUUUGGCAUAUUACAUACACUAAAGACUGACAGUUUAUGGUAAUAUUUUAUUCACUUUGAUGUUUUUCCAUAAGAUCCCUUUGAUUAACAUUAAAGCAUCAAUGAUGUUACAGUUCAUAUUUGGAACUACCACAAUGUACUUUAAAAUACCGAAGUCCAAAUACUUUUAAAAUUCACAUUAUCCACCACAAGGUGGAGUAUUGCACAAAAAAAUGAACUCUCAAAUAUAAAGAAAAUAAUUAAAAGUGCGAAUUUCAUUGCUUCCUCAGAUGAAGAUGCCUCGUGCAGUAUAUAAUUUAACCAGUAAUAUAAAUAUUUAAUUGUAUUCUCCAGCACUUUAAAAGCAUACAGGUAUCUUUUUCCUGUUUUUUACAACUUUGGUAUAUUAUAAUUAUUAAUACGAUCACAUUGAUAAUGGCAUUGCAAAAAAACAGAUUGGCAGCUUUAAAGUUUUUGUAAGUAACUUAAAUUUUUUGUUAACUUAAUUGAGUAAGUUUCUGGUACUGGCUAUUAUUAUUAUUAUUAUUAUUAUUCCUCAUUCAGUAGUUUAGGUUCUUUACUAACAUGUUACAUUCACAGAAAAUCCACCUGCUCAUGCUACAGUGUAUGCCAUCAUGCUUUUUCCCUGGUUUCGCCAUUCACCUUGGUUUUUUCAGUUGUCAAAAUGAUCUGAUCUGUUCUGUCAACAAUGCUCAUUCAGAAAUCACAAAUUAAUGUGUGCUGUUGGUUAUUUUCUCUAGAAAUGGCAGAAACAGAAGCAUAAUUAUAGUAAGAAAGAGCGGCUCUUGAAAAGAAGAUAUAAAAACCAAAAAACAGAUGUUUCAAGGUUAUGUUGAAAUAUAAGAUUUUUGAGGAAAAGUUAAAGUGAUAUAUAUUUUUACUCCUAUACAAGGGCUUUUGGCUGUCAUCUAGGUGAGAAUUAUUUCAAUGUGCAUUGGAAAAGGUGAGAUUCACUGGGAUUUGAGCUGAGCGCAAUCACAUGAUUUCCCAUGCUGUAUGUACAGUACUGGACAGCUGGAUCUCUCGUGAUGAGUAUGUGGUGACAGCAUGGGGCAGAGUGACAUUAGGCUUAACACUGAUCCCAUCUCGGCAAACUGUACCAUUCCUGUGAUCUUUGUGCUUGUAACUUGUGUAGUUCAGUGUCAACACAUUACAGACAAAAAUUUUAAAAAUA